rnacentral:rRNA from 1 species
GACGAACGCUGGCGGCGUGCUUAACACAUGCAAGUCGAACGGAAAGGCCAGCUUUCCCUUGUGGAUUGCGGGUACUCGAGUGGCGAACGGGUGAGUAACACGUGAGUGAUCUGCCCCCAACUUGGGUAUAAGCCUGGGAAACUGGGUCUAAUUCCCGAUAGGACUGCAGGGUGGUGCCUGUGGUGGAAAACGAUUUUCUAGUGGUUGGGGAUGAGCUCGCGGCCUAUCAGCUUGUUGGUGGGGUAAUGGCCUACCAAGGCGGCGACGGGUAGCCGGCCUGAGAGGGUGGACGGCCACAUUGGGACUGAGAUACGGCCCAGACUCCUACGGGAGGCAGCAGUGGGGAAUAUUACACAAUGGGCGGAAGCCUGAUGCAGCGACGCCGCGUGGGGGAUGACGGCCUUCGGGUUGUAAACUCCUUUCGACCGCGAGGAAGCCACCUGGUUGGAAGGGUGGUGACGGUAGUGGUAGAAGAAGCACCGGCUAACUACGUG